GACGAACGCUGGCGGCGUGCCUAAUACAUGCCAGUAGAACGCUGAAGGAGGAGCUUGCUCUUCUGGAUGAGUUGCGAACGGGUGAGUAACGCGUAGGUAACCUGCCUGGUAGCGGGGGAUAACUAUUGGAAACGAUAGCUAAUACCGCAUAAGAGUAGAUGUUGCAUGACAUUUGCUUAAAAGGUGCAAUUGCAUCACUACCAGAUGGACCUGCGUUGUAUUAGCUAGUUGGUGGGGUAACGGCUCACCAAGGCGACGAUACAUAGCCGACCUGAGAGGGUGAUCGGCCACACUGGGACUGAGACACGGCCCAGACUCCUACGGGAGGCAGCAGUAGGGAAUCUUCGGCAAUGGACGGAAGUCUGACCGAGCAACGCCGCGUGAGUGAAGAAGGUUUUCGGACCGUAAAGCUCUGUUGUAAGAGAAGAACGAGUGUGAGAGUGGAAAGUUCACACUGUGACGGUAUCUUACCAGAAAGGGACGGCUAACUACGUG
rnacentral:rRNA from 1 species